AUAGUAUUUAUUGCCUUAAGCAAUCAUAGGGCAUAUACAACAAACUAUUCCCUUCACAUUUGGUGGUCUGCGAGUUUGAUAUUAUGAAUUGUAUUUUACUUCAUAUGCCUAAAUAAAUUGCUUUUGUGUUCUAUGUAGACAAUUCCUUGCACGCAAAUCUUGUUUUUGUGAAUAGCACUGGGUGCUACAAGGAAAGCUCUCUAAAAUAUCAUGGUAUGCUUAGAGGAAAACAAAAAAUAACGUGUGUCCCUUUUCAAAAGUAGACUUUCAACAUUCAAUUCGUUAACACUAACUAUACGUUGAACCUUUGCAUUUGUUCCCAUUCCAUUGUACUGAAAUAGUUACUUAUUGUAUAUAUCUCACCUUUAAAUAUCCAUCCAAACGUGUUGCGUAGACGAACGCGUUAGUUAUUUCCUUGGGAUUAUUUCCUUCAUCAAAGUUGCAUGACUCGUUCCGUUUCUGUGGACUUGUUGUUCAAAUUAUUUAUUUAAAAUAAUGCGAAUAAUACUUUUGCACGGGGAACAUGCAUGAGAAUUGUGUCAUUUAUUUAACUAAACAUGUACAUAACAAGCAGAAUUAUGUUAAAAAAAUUAAUAUAUAUAUACUUAAUUUUAUAUUAAGUCGCAUUGCAUGUACUUUGAUAAAAUUAGAUUGCAUUUCAAAAGCAAUUUGUAACAAACACCUAUAUUUUAUUAUUUAAACAUAUGUAUUGUUAUGAAGAAGCAGUAGUAUAAUGUAUAAAGUGAAUUAUUAUAUAUAAACACCAUUGUUAUGUACACACAGCAUUGUUAUGCAAUACAUAAUUGUUAUGUAUAAACAGUAUUAAUGAGCAGCAUUGUUAUAUGACAAAUAGAAGUUGAUUUGAGAUAUAACUACAUACUCUUCUUAUUAAGUAUGCUUAAAGGGGCCUUAUUGCAGUUUUUUGCAUGUAUUGCAGUUUGUAAUUAAUGCUUUAAGUUGCAAAAUAUAAACAUUUAAACAAACUAACUCUAGUAAAAAACAAGAAUAAAAUAAAUAAAUAAAUUCUAAACUUGGCUCGAACCAUUGAUCCAAUUUUUCAAUUUUCCAAAACGUGAAAAGGUUUCUUUAAAACUGAAAUUAUAUAUUUUACAUUUGGACAUACCCUUUGUAUACACACUAUUAUCAUUAAUGCAUGAUUUCGUUUAAGUUGGGUAUUUAUAACUGGCGGUUCAUGCGUGCGAAAACAAUAACGAAAACUUGUUUAUGGGACAAUUUCAAAUGAACAAGUGAUUACCUUUUCUACAUGCUUUUGUGUGUUUCAGACGCGUAGAACAAGUGUUUCAAAAGGAAGAAGGGCAUGACGUCAUAAGUGUUCAUUAUGAAGUCGUACCUGACGACAAUACAGAGCGCGGGGCAUCACCAAUGUACACAUCUCUCCAGACCAAUCAACAGGUGGCGGAAAUUCAUCUGUACACUGGCUUGCGGGAAUCAAGUCUCUUGUCCCAAGAAACGUCUACUUAUUAUUCAGUGGCCGAGCAGGGGAAUUACGUUCCAGGGGAGACUAACACCCAUUCAGAUGACAAAACUUAUUUUAAUGUAGCCUCAAACAGGAUACAUAUUUAAACCUUUAUCAUUUCAAAGCGACCUAAUUACGUUUUGAGUUUUGGGUUUAGCUUGCACUGAGUGAGUUUUACAAUUAUUUUUUCUCUGUAUGUCACAGACAACUUACAAUGUACCAGUCAUGUCUUUUGCUAAUUAAACACAUUUAUCUACGAUUUCACGAAUUUUUAUAUAAAUCUAAAUUUAUUAGCCGUAUUCACUUCUGAAAAUUGAAAUUAUGACUGUUGUUUUGUAUUUUAUGAAGGCUUAAGCUACAUUAUUUUAACAUAUUCUCUUCUUAGGUAAAACAUACAUUGUUAAUUGUUAUGUUGUAUAGUAUACCCUUUUAAGAUCAAUUAUAUUGCCAUGAUCACGUUUGAGAUAAAAAUGGAUCUUUUGAUUAUUUUGUUAAUUUAUAUUAUGCAUAAACCUAAUGCUAUACUAUUUUACCAUGUUUACCGAUGACAUGAAAAUUUAAGGGAUUGUUAACUGUUACAUUAUACAGUAAUACUUAGUAUACGUUAAGCUUAAUCAUUGUAAAAUGUUAACUACUGAUGUGAACAUGUAAUUAUAAGCUGUUGUUUGAUGUAAUUUACAAUUUUAAGCCUAAGUAUUUUACCAUGUUUAAAUCUGAUGUGGAAAUGGAAUCGUUGAUAUUUGAAAAUGGAAUUCUGGACUGUAAUCUUAUAUAAUAUAAAACUUAAAGCUUAAGUCUUUAACCAUGUUAACUGUUGAUGUGAGUAUGGAAUUAUUGACUGUUGAAAAUGGAACUGCUGACUGUUCUUUUAUACUAUAUAUAUUGUUAGGCUCGUGUAUGUUUACUUGUUCACAUCCGAGGUAAAAAAGGCAUGUUUGGCUAUUGUAUUAUUUUAUAUAGAACUUGAACCUGAAUUAUGAACCAAGUUCUUUUCGUAUGUAAUAGUGGAUUUUUAAAAUUUUAUUUUAUAUAAUACAAUACUUUAGAUAGUGUAGUUUAUUUAUAUUAUAUAACUGUUUAAUAUUAAAAGGAGUAAACCUU